rnacentral:rRNA from 1 species
UACGUAGGGUGCAAGCGUUGUCCGGAAUUAUUGGGCGUAAAGAGCUUGUAGGCGGUUUGUCGCGUCUGCUGUGAAAUUUCGGGGCUCAACCCCGAACUUGCAGUGGGUACGGGCAGACUAGAGUCUGGUAGGGGGAUCUGGAAUUCCUGGUGUAGCGGUGGAAUGCGCAGAUAUCAGGAGGAACACCGGUGGCGAAGGCGGGAUCCUGGGCCAGUACUGACGCUGAGGAGCGAAAGCGUGGGGGAGCAAACAGG